AUUUGACCUUUUUGUGGGGGAGGUACUUUAUGGAGUGAACUGAUAUUGUACAUUUUUGCGCCUGACCUAGCUAGGGCUAAUGCAUAUAUUAGGAUUUUGCAAUGUUGGAAGAAAAUCGAAUAAAAUAUUUCUUAAUUGACAAUUUCGACCUUUUGUGGGGGAGGUACCAGAAGGAGUGGACCGAUAUUGCCAAUCUUCGAACCUGAUCUAACUUUUAUAAUGAUGUUACCUUGUACCAAUUUUGGACCAAAUCGAAUCCUCCCUUCGAGGGUUAUCGUGCGCACCCACCAUCCAUCCAGACAGACAGACAGACGGACGGUCAUCUCUAGAUAGACUCGAAAUAUCCUGAAACGGAUUUGGUCCAAAGGAACUUAGGAUCUAAAACCGUUAUUUCGACUAGGCACGUGUUGAUCGUAUCAAAUGAUAUAAUACCCUCUCUAGCCAUAUGGCUGAGAGUAUAAAAGCAGUAUAUAUUUCGGGGUUCAUAAAAACCAUAAACAUAAGUUUUCGUCGUUCCAGUUUUAUGAUUUAUGUUUUGAAUUUAUUGAACACAUGAACAUAAACUGGACCGAAACCUAGGUCAAAGAUUUGAACUUUUGGGAGAGCUCCUCUAAGUGCAAUGUUAUCAGUUUCAGUUGAGGUUUGUUUCUUGUAUUCUUUAUGCUAUGGUAAAUUGGGACUUUCCAGCCAGCCUUAUCUUUGAGUUUUGGAUGCAGUUGUUUUGUUCGUUGUUGUUUUACUUCAUUAAAUUCUGCUAUAAAAACCUAAAAAUCUUUAAAUUCCAAAUUAAUACAUUUUCAAACAUUGUUCAAAAGUGAGGGAAAACAAUGCGCUUCUUUUGCAUUCUUAUCGCCCUUGUUAUGCUCAUCGCAUUGGUCUCAAGUGAGAAUGAUCAAUGCCAAAGACUAUGUGGUCGAAAUAUUGCCUAUGUUUGUGGACAGUUUUCCGAUGACACAAAGAAAACUUUUGCCAAUUCUUGUGUAAUGGAAGUUGAAGCCUGCCAAAAAGGCAUUGAAAUUACUCCAGUAAAUUAUGGAACAUGUGAAGAACCAGAUCCAUAUCAACCAACUCCAAAUGGCUUGUGAAUUAAUUGAUGAAUGUAUAAACGAAUUUAAAAAUGUAAAUGUAAUAAAAAUUAAAAACUACCUUUUAUCUAACACA